CUGAUGCCUUGGCUUCCUAUGGGCUCUGCCUUGCCUGAAAGGCUCUCCUAGCUCUCCUUCCUGUGAUGGGGAAAUACCCCAGGGCGUCAGGAAAUUCCUGCCCCGGCAGGGAGCUGACUUCCCGGUCGGUAUCCCGGGGAGUCUGAGCCCAGCCCCCUGCAGCCAAUCAGCAGCGGAGGUGCCUCAAACUGACAAGCAAAACGAAGCCCAACAAAUGCAGCUGGAACUUGAACAAACAGAUUUGGGAGACCGUGGUGUUUGUUUGACGGCCGAAGUCCAGGGCUUGCUGGUUCACCUCUGUGAGCCUCAGCUGUGCCAUCAUAGGGAGGACGGUCGUCUUCCCUCAGCCAGGAAUGAGGAAUGGACACGCAAGCACCGAGUGAACGGGAAGGCACCACAAGAACGUGAAAUAUGGUUCACAUUGUGAAGUUCGAAGUGUGACACUUGAGUCUUCUGAUGGAUAGAGAAGUGAAGUUCUCUCCCCUCCUGGUGGAGACAGGUAACCCUGGGUCCAUCUUGUGACCUCCAUGGAAGCCAUCCUGAGGAUGAAGCCAACACAUGGAAGAAGGCAGAGAGCAGAGAAGUGGAACCAGACUCCCAGUUGCUCUUGAAACACAUAGCAUUGGAUUUUCCCCUUUGUGAACCAAUUCAUUCAUUCAAAAACA